AUGCAUUCUGGCUCCAUCCAGCUAAUUUUUCAUGCACAAAUUGCAGGUGCCAAGCAUAUUUGGCACAGUCCAGGAAUGCCUGGACAAAACUGUGAGUUCUCCUGGCAGCUGGGCUUGUGGAAUAUCCACAGAGGAGCAUGGAGCUUCGUUUUCAAAUCCUAGCUUUGCCUGAUAGGAGCUACAUCUCUCAGAUGGAUUCAUUAUAAUCAUGGGACUGUAGGCUUUGAUUCUGAGAAGAUGUUCUAACCCUGGCCUACUUGCUGGUAUCUCAAUUUCAUUUUUCAUGGUGAAAUCACAUUGGUUCUGGUAUUGUCAAGACCAUCUCUCUCUGCAUAUGGCUGCAGAAUAAGAAGGACAAGAAAAGUUUGAGAUGAAUCUGCAUGGACAAUGAAGGAUCUCCUGAAAAACACUCAGGAAAAGAAAAUAUAGAAACGUGCAGAGACAGAAAGAGCAUCAUGUUACCCAGGAGAGGAAAACAGAGAGAGAAGUCUAAGCAUACAGAGAUAGAGUUAGAAAAAUCAAAGACUGUCUGGACUUGAAUUGAGCUACCUACAUCAUCUACCUGGAUUUGUGUUUUCAACUGGAUGCUGUCCUGCAUCCUUGUCUCAAAAAUGAGGAGAGACAUGGCUUUGAUGGAUGGACCACUCAUUGAAUAAGAAAUUGUCUUGAUGGUCACACUGAAAGAGUUGAAGUCAGUGGUUUAAUGUCCAGAUAGAGACUAGAAAUUGCUAGUAUCUCUUCGAAGUCUGCCCUGGGACUAGUAUAAUUUAACAUUUUUGUCAGUGACAUGGACAGUGGGAUUGCACCCCCAACAAGUUUGCUGAUGACACCAAGGUCAGUGGUGUGGUCAAGACACUGGAAUGAAGGGAUGCCACCCAGAUGGAUUUUGACAGGCUUGAGAGGUGGAACAAGUGGGACAAAGUUGGAUGAGGACUUGUAGGUACUGGUGGUUUAAAAACUUGACAUGAAUCAACAAUGUGCACUUGGAGUCCUAUUAGGCAUCAAAAGAAGUGUAGCAAGUAGGUUGUGGGAGUUGAUUGUCCUCCUCUACUCCACUCCCAUAAGACCCCACUGGGAGUACUGAAUUUAUCUCUGUGGCCAAUAGAGUAAGAAAGACAUGGAUACACUAAAGCUUGUCCAGAAGAUGGCCAUGCAGAUGAUAAGAGGGCUGGAGCACCUAUCCUACAAUGUCAUCCUGAGAACAUUGGAAUUAUUUAGCCUAGAGAAGAGAAAGCUAUGGGAAGACCUUUUAGUAGCCUUCCAGUACUGAGAGGGGACUUAUAAAAAAGGUAAAGAGUGAAUCUUUACAUGUACAGACAGUGAUGGAACAAGGUAGAAUGGUUUUACACUAAAAGAGGAGAGAUUUAGAUCAGGUGAUAGAAGGAAAUUCUUGACCCAGAAGGUUGUGAGGCAGUGGAAUAAGAAGCUCAGAGAUAUGAAUGCCCUAUCCCUGGAAUUGCUCAAGGCUAGGUUAGAUGGACCUUUGGGCAACCUGGUGUAGUGGAAGUUGUCCCUGUCGAUGGGAUCCAUCCAUAGAAUCCAAGCCAAGCCAUUCUAUGAAUCUAUGAUUCACUGUAUGAAUUUGGAGAGAUCAUACAAUACAACAUGAAAGGUUUCUGCAGAUCCAUCAGCAAUAAAAGAAAAACUGAGGGUAAUAUGGUCUUGCUGCUGGAUAGGCAGCGACUUGAUGUCAAAGCAGGGGUGUGGAAAGGUCUGACGCUCUUCCUGAUUUCUUCAUCUUAUCUUGUCUUCAGAAAUCUCAUGUCCUUGAAACCCAUGGGAAAGCCUGGAGCAAAGCAAAUUAACAUGCCAGUAGAGGAAGAUGCAGUUAAGGAAAAUAUGAACCAGUUGUAACUUGUAAACAUGUCGAUGGGACUUGAUUGGAUGCAACCACAAGUGUUGAGUUUUUAGUGCUUUCAGCACUCUGGCCUGUAGCAUCCUUGUUGACAAACUGGUGGAAUAGAGUCUAGAGAAGCUGAUGAUGAGGUAUGAUGAGACAGAUUGAUGAAGCCAGUCCAUCUCUAGAGGUGAACUCAAAAGAACUGGGGCCAGUACUGUUUAAGAUCUUCAUAGAUAUGAUGGAACAUAGUGAAAAUUUUCAGACACAAAGUUGGAAAGAGAAAGCAGUAUACCAAAUGUUUGUGUUACCCUUUAGAAGGACCUCAACAGGCUGGAGAACUGAGCUGUCAGGAUUAUCCUGAAGUUUAAGAAAUGGAAAUGUUAAUUCUUGUCCAGGGAGGAGGAAGCCUCAGGCACUCACACAAAGAAGCUGAGGUCUGAAUAUCUGGAAAGCAGCCUUGCAGAAAAGGUCGUGGGGACCUGGUGGGCACCUAAAGGAACAUGAGACAACAAUGUGUUCUAGAGCAUAUGAGGCCAUCAGCGCCUGGGCUGCACUAUGAAAAAUGUCACAAGCAGAUCAAAGGAGGAAAGAGCUCACCUAUUUCAAGGAUCCUAGUUAAGCCAAAGGCUUUUCUAGGUUUUGUAUUGGUCAAAUGGCUGUAUGAAACCAUGUCUGUGACUGAAAAUGUUUUGUCUCUAAAUUAGCUUUUCAUUUCAGUUUAAUCACUGGGAUAAAAACUUCAUACAAAAGAUUUAAAUAUUUUAAUUCAAUUUUUAAAGCUACUUUAAUUAAAACAAUUAAACCUAAAUAUCUGUAUUAUAGCUUUGUGUCAAAAAAAAAAAUACUACUAGUUCUAUUAAAACUGCUUUUAAGACAGAUUUAGUUAAACAGGGCAAGCAACUUGUACUUGCUCUUAGACAAUUUUAAACUUGAUUAGCUUUGAUUUGAUGAGAAACACUGUAUCUUCAUGAAGGAAGAAUUUAAUGUUAAUCACCUUCAUCUGUCUAAGAGUUCUGAAUGAAGUUCCCACCAUAAUCAGCUGAAAGGGACAGUCAUGUCAGAAAUGAAUCAUUCCACCUGUUCUGGACAUCUGUAUUAGAAUGGAAAAAAUCACCUUUCACUCAUAACUUUCUCUUCGUGUCUUGAAAAUAUAGUAAAGAGAAACAGUUAAGACUAUGCACUGCUUUUACAUUACUAAAAACAGGUGAAGUUUUUUCCAAGCUGAGCAUUUGCACUAGUUCAAUUUAUUUAUAUUUUUGUUAAUUAAAAUGAAUUAAUGUUCAGCAACAUCUGAGAAAGCAACAUUUGCAUAAUAUUUAUGCAGUUAUUGAUCCAUCAGUAUUAUUUAUUAUGAUUUGGUUACCACACAAAGAAUAAUUAUUAUUUUGUUCUUUAAUUUAUCCCUAGAAAAGAGUUUCUCAAGUAAUGCCUGUUUAAAAGUUGUUUCUGCUCUCUUAUUUAAGGAAGGAAAGAGGUGGACAUAACAGUGAGCUCCAUUUUUCUUUCUACAAACAAUAUUAUAAAAUGAGCUCUAGUGGAAAUAAUGCGUACUCAGUGCAGAGAAAUGUUCAUGCUCACCUUCUCUUCUUCAUUGUGCACAAAUAGCUGGAAGGAAGGAAAAAAAUGUUGCUGUGAAUAAAUCCAUUACCCAUGAAGUAUUUUGGGAUGAGAGAAAAGCGUUUUUAAGAAGAAAUGAAGUAAUUGAUUGCAUAUCUAAAGAAACCAGUGAAGGACUAAGCCACAUUACAGUCAAAAACAUAACAUUGCAAGACUGAAAAAUUGCUUUCCUUUUGUUUGUUGAAAUGACAUUGCCUUAUAUAUAUACUUUCAAAAUAUCUCCAGCAGUUUCUUUAACUGCUUUAUCUUUUGUGUGUUGUCUAGCUACAGGAAAUUGGAAAUUGGGCUAUACUGUCCCUUUUACAUUAAUGGUCACAAAUAAGUUUUGUGGCAGUAGUUUUCAUGUCAUCUAAAUGAAGAACAGUAUGGAGAACCAGUUUUUUAUUAUUAUUAUUACUAUUAUUAAUAAUAAUAAUUAAUUUAAUUGAUUUCUUUCUAAUUUCAUGGAAUAUCUUCAUUUUAUUUUGAGAAAAAAAAAAAAAUCAUAGAAUCAUAGAAUCCUAGAAUGGCCUGGUUUGAAAAGGAUCUCAAAGAUCACCUAGUUUCAACACACCUGCCGUGGGCAGGGUUGUCAGCCACUAGACCAGGAUGUCCAGAGCCACAUCCAGCCUGGCCUUGAAUGCCUCCAGGGAUGGGGCAUCCACAACCUCCUUGGGCAACCUGUUCCAGUGCUUCACCACUGUCUGAGUGAAAAAAUUCCUCCUAAUAUCUAAGCUAACCCUCCCCUGACUUUGUUUAAAACCAUUCCCCCUUGUCUUAUCACUAUGCAUUUAUGUAAACAGUCAUUCCCAUUCCUGUUUAUAUGCUCCCUUUAAGUACUGGAAGGCCACAAUGAGGUCUCCCUGGAGCGUUAUCUCCUUCAAGCUAAACAAGUCCAGUUUCCUCAGCCUUUCUUCAUAGGAGAGGUGCUCCAGCCCUCUGAUCUUCUCAGUGCAGUGGUCCUCCUCUGGACCUGUUCCAAGAGAUCUGUGCUGGGGGCCCCAGGCCUGGACGCAGUACUCCAGAUGGGGCCUCACAAGAGCUGAGUAGAUGCAGACAAUCACCUCCCUCUCCCUGCCGGCCACCCUUUUUUUAAUGCAGCCCAGAACACAGUUGCCCUUCCAGACUGUAAGCGCACACUGCUGGCUCAUGUCCAGCUUCUUGUCCACUAGGACCCCCAAGUCCUUCACCACAUGGCUGCUCUCAAGUUCUUCCUUCAUUCUGUAUAAAUACCUGGGAUUGCCCUGGCCCAAGCUUGCACUUGGCCUUGUUGAACCUCAUGAGUUUCACAUGGACCCACUUCUCCACCCUGUCCAGGUUCCUCUGGAUCGUUUUCCUUCCCUCCAAUGUAUUGACUACAUCUCUCAGAAAAUAUACAGCCUACCCUCUCACAGUCUUCUUUGAUGAACUUUAUACUCUGUAUUAUCCUCCUUUUCUAACAGACAUUAACUCUUCCUCGUAUUUUUCACUUGUGUCAUAUUUUUCCAGUGCCAUUUCUGUGAUCAAAUAUCUAAAUUGCUUAGUAGCCAUGUGCAUGGCGGUGACUGCACCAGCUGCCGGGGAUUUCCUUGUCUUUUUCCAUUGCAUGUUUCAAUCCAUAGAAGAAUAUGCCUGCAUGAUAAAAUUAUGUGUUUUACAAAAGGAAAAGGGCACACAUUACUAUAAGUCUGAAAACACUCCUUUGCAGAUUUUUUGAUGAUUUAGGUUAAUGUUACGCAAAGAAUGCCCAGCCCAGUUCUUCCCUAGAGAAUGCAAACCAGUUUUUGCAUCUGUUUUAUUAAGAUGUAAGUUAGGAGAGCUCAGUGCUCCUGACAUUACCUACAUUGAAACGUCAGUACAUUUAUAUUAAAAGAUACUUUCAUAUCAGGUGAUGGUAAAUUCUCUGGAAAUAAGUGGGGCAAUGCUGGUGGAGAAGAUCAACUUCUGAAUUAGGCUCCCUAUUCAUAUUGUCUUCUGGAGACAUCUUUACAGAAUAUGGAGAUUGCUGUUGUCUCAUCCUUUCUCUGUCCCCAGCUCUUUGUGGAGCUUAUGCUCCUGAGAUAUAUUUUUAAAUCUCAUGUAACAUUCUAGACUUUAAUAAUGGCAAUGAAUUGUAUAGAUAUCAAUAAGAUGUACUCAGUAUUAGGGAAAACUGCAUAGUUAUGUUUAGAUGCUGAAAAAUUAAUGGAGGUACUGAGACUUUUCUUGCAAAAAAUAUUUAUCAAUCUUUGCAUUGAUUAACUGAAAGUCUGAAAGUUAUCAAACUUUGCAUUGAGUAACUGGCAAUCAUAUUGGAUAUUUCUAAGAAAGUUCUGGUAUAAAAUAUACAAAAAAAGACAUUUUUAAAAAGUUAAAAGAAAUUAUGUCAAUAUUCUGCUUAUAACAUCACAAAAUAAACAAUCAAACAAAUGAAUUGUGAUUGUAUAGACAAAAUGAAUGCCUUAUGUACUACUAAGCCACAAAUAUAUUGCAGUUCAUCACUUCAAGGUUUAUGAGCUAUUCACAUUGAGAUAGAUCACCUAAUCUUUCUCUGAUCAAUCUACAUAUACAUCUGUAACAAGAUGCAUUGUGUGAACCUCUACAGAGUUGUAGCACUGCUGGUAUUAUAUAUUAUUUGUUCUGCAUAUUGCAUUUUACCUCACAAUCACUACUGGAAAUUUCUGAUGUCAGAACGAUGCCGGGUCUCCAUCUUACAAUGAUAAUUACUUUAGCUGCAGAGCUUGUAUUUAUGGUUAAAACUCCAAUGCAGUAUUUUUUUCCUGUUUUCUUGCAUGUUUAUCUAAUUGCUACGCAGUUAUGAAAUGGGUAAGUUAUGAAUGUACUGAUUUAAUUAGAAGCUUUGAUUAUAUUUAUUUAUUACCCACAAAAAGUAAAUGGAGUAACUUUCAUACAAGGUUUACACUGGCUCUGAAGACUUUAAAUACAAUUACUGGCAAGCUACUGUAGUAGACACAUGGUGUGUGUGGGGGUGUCAGCUUUUAAUUGUAACUGUCUUGCAGAGUGGUGUUGUUUUAAUAUCCUGUAUAGAUUUUUAUGUAAUACACUUACUUGCAGGCAGCCUGAAGCAAGAAUCAAUUCUGUGAAGGAUUCUUCUUUUGUUAAAAGCCAAUCUUGUUUUAAUGAUGCAUGAAGAAAUAUUCGAGCAUUGACAUUUUUCUGUCAGGUUUCUUUUGAAAAAUCAAUUAAGAUAAUACUGCUUUGACCUAGUUAUCUAGUUAAUGCUUAUUAGGAAUGUAAUAUGAUUUACUGUCAGCAUAAUAAUUUUUGUAUCUUAUCCCAUUAGCUUGUGCAUAUUUCAAAGUGUAUUACACAAUGGUCACUUCUUAAAAUGUAAUGUAGCAGAAUACAUUAAUUAGAUUGACUGGGAUCAUUAGACAGAAACUCUCUCAUUGGUUCUUUGUAUAAAAUUUGUAUAUCAUCUCUAUCAAGUUAAUUCAUUGUUUACUUGUCUGAAGAGUGUUUCUGAAGUUUUUUGAUUGGACAAAAACUGAUUGUUUCAUGUCUACCAAUUCUUUGUUCUUAGCUCUUCCUGGGCUAUGCAAACUAAUUGCAAGUGACCACCAAAGAAACAAAUCUUCACAUGUGAGGUUUUUUGAAAUCUGUAAGUCAUGAAAGAUUGGAGAAGUAUACAGUGCUAAAUAGAGGACAGCCAUGAGAGUACAGAAAUCAGUGAAGCACUAGAUUUGCUAUUUCUAAUGUCAAGUUACAAAAUACAUUGAAAUGACAAGAAUCAUUUUAGAAGAAGGUAUGGAGGAGCAGAAAGGAGAAAGCAUGCACUGCACCAGGAUGUGGGACCAUCUCUUUGACCUCUGGAGAUGUCUGAAAGAACAUGGGUGCUCAUAGCUAAAGAGCAGUGGAUGUCAGACAAUGCUAAGAGACGAUCUUAAAUGAUUAGAGUUUAUUUAAGGUGCCAGGCCUCUGCAUGUGGCAGGUUUCCUGUCCUUUUUGGGUCAGUCAAAUGCUGAACUGGAACUUGGAACUCACCCAGUGGCUGGUCAACAAAGGUUCAGGAAUAAGACUCACCCUUAGAACUCCUUGGCAUCUGGAGAAUGAAGGAGGCCACUGCAAUUCUUUUCUGAACAACCUCUUCUAUAGUAUGUCCACCGCAUCCUCUCAGGCUCUCCUUACUGACUGUACAUGAAAGCUGCUUGAUGAAUAUUCUCAAAAGUCACUUUUCCCUCCUAUUUAUUCUGACAAGAUGAAGAGAUUUUAAAUGACAGUAUUGCCUCUAUUUGCACAACCACUUCUGCUGCAGAAAUUAUCAGUAAGCAAAUGAGUCUGCCACCAAGAAGGGAAAUUCUCUUCCUUUCCUCUGUGGAAGACCCUAAGGAAAAUCCCUGCUCCUCAUCUGAAGAGAUCUGCACAGGUUGGAGAAGAGCAGCAUAUUUUCUGUGGUGUUGCUGCCAGGGAGCAAGGACAGGAGACUGCUAGGUCAGAUCUUUACCUCAGAGAGAAUAUUGUGGAUGCUUAAUUCGACUAGAGGUAAGCUUAUGUAAGGCGUUGAAGUCUGAGAAAGUCAGGCUGAAAAAAAUUGUACAGUAUAAUCUGAGGUUGGUGGGAAAUCUCUGCCUGCUGCUCUCUCAUAUAGUGAUAAAAUUAUGUUUUUCUAGUGCAUCAUGAACUAUUUCUAAUUAACAAGCAACAAAUCUACACAAAUUCAAGCUGUUCAUAGAAUUCAGUGAAGAUUUAAACACAAUUUAGAGUCAAUUCCAAUUCACCAAAUCUGUGUAGAUAGUUAUAAAUAGUUAAAUCUUUGG
rnacentral:lncRNA from 1 species